rnacentral:rRNA from 1 species
GAUGAACGCUGGCGGCGUGCUUAACACAUGCAAGUCGUACGGUAAGGCCCUUUCGGGGGUACACGAGUGGCGCACGGGUGCGUAACACGUGAGUAACCUGCCCACAACUUUGGGAUAACGCUAGGAAACUGGUGCUAAUACUGGAUAUGUGCUCCUGCUGCAUGGUGGGGGUUGGAAAGCUCCGGCGGUGGUGGAUGGACUCGCGGCCUAUCAGCUUGUUGGUGGGGUAGUGGCCUACCAAGGCGGCGACGGGUAGCCGGCCUGAGAGGGUGACCGGCCACAUUGGGACUGAGAUACGGCCCAGACGCCUACGGGAGGCAGCAGUGGGGAAUAUUGCACAAGGGGCGCAAGCCGGAUGCAGCAACGCCGCGUGCGGGAUGACGGCCUUCGGGUUGUAAACCGCUUUCAGCAGGGACGAAGCUUGUUGUGACGGUACCUGCAGAAGAAGCACCGGCUAACUACGUG